UACGUAGGGUGCAAGCGUUAUCCGGAAUCACUGGGCGUAAAGCGUGCGUAGGCGGGAGUUUAAGUGAAAUGUUAAAUCGUGUGGCUCAACCAUAUCGAUGCAUCUCAUACUGGAUUCCUAGAGGAAGGCGGAGGCAAGUGGAAUUGGUAGUGUAGCAGUGAAAUGCGUAGAUAUUACCAGGAACACCAAUGGCGAAGGCAGCUUGCUGGGCCUUUUCUGACGCUGAUGUACGAAAAGCGUGGGGAGCGAACAGG
rnacentral:rRNA from 1 species